UCUAGGGAGGCAGCAGUGGGGAAUAUUGGACAAUGGGGGGAACCCUGAUCCAGCGACGCCGCGUGAGUGAAGAAGUAUUUCGUUAUGUAAAGCUCUAUCAGCAGGGAAGAAAGAAAUGACGGUACCUGACUAAGAAGCCCCGGCUAACUACGUGCCAGCAGCCGCGGUAAUACGUAGGGGGCAAGCGUUAUCCGGAUUUACGGGGUGUAAAGGGAGCGUAGACGGUUACGCAAGUCUGGAGUGAAAGGCGGGGGCCCAACCCCCGGACUGGUUUGGAAACUGGAUAACUGGAGUGCAGGAGAGGUAAGUGGAAUGCGUAGUGUAGCGGUGAAAUGCGUAGAUAUUAGGAGGAACACCAGUGGCGAAGGCGGCUUACUGGACUGUAACUGACGUUGAGGCUCGAAAGCGUGGGGAGCAAACAGGAUUAGAUACCCCUGUAGUC
rnacentral:rRNA from 1 species